CUAUGUAUUCAUAAUUUUUUGGAUGAAUAUGAAUUUAGGCACUAUUGAAUAGCAUGUGAUGUACUUCUUUUCCUUUUGAAAACUGAAAGAGCAAAAUGUUGUCUUUUAAUAGAGAAAAGUUGCUUUGCAAGUCUCACUAGAGCAAAAAACUCAUCUUAGGUACUUCAUCUCAAAAGGAAAAAAUGUUUUUCAUUUUUAUUAAUAAUAUCACCAUUAUCAGUAUUACUGUCAGUCCAUUGCUUAGGCAUGGUUACAAAGUCUACUAUUGCCAAUGCUCCCUCAUACCUGCAUUAUUCUUCUUAACACUACCAUUGCCACAUCCCCCUUCCUCCAAGGCUGAUACACGACCAUUAACACUGCCAUUGCCAACACACUGCUAGCUUUGUUCUUAAAGCAGCAAUUGACCCACUAUCUUAAGCUUACCGGGCUAACAUUCUUCAUCAUGUGUGGUAAAACCUGCAUCUGAAGAGUCAAACAGUAGGAACAACAGAGUAAAUAAAUUGGGGAGGAAACAGACCAAGGAACUUGACUUUGAGACUUGUAGAAACCAGAGUUCUGAUGCCAAGUUAAGCUAGAAAUUGACCCAGAAGCUUAAGCUUAUCAGGGUAACAACUGCAGUUGUCAUUGUGAUCACUACAAAUGCCAUUGCCAGCAUCACCGCCACCACUACCACCAUCUGAAGAUGCUCCUGCACAAUCAUAAACACUGUUUUGCCUCAGCCUCUGUUGCCAAUUAGCAUUACCUCUCCUACUAAUAUCACUGUUAACAGCUCCUCCUAGCUUCACCAUUGGUACUAGCAGUACAAUCUUGCACCACUAUUGGCACUAUUGCCAACAUCACUUGUAAGACCUCUAUCACCAGCACCUCGAACAACAUAGGCUUUGCAUUGUAUUUCACUUGCCUCUUCUAGUUGACUCCAACUAGUUGAGAUUAAGGUUCUGUUGAAUUGAGGAGGUUCGCUUUAGUAAAGUACUUCAGAUUGACUAGAAUAUUAUAUUUCUGAAAAGAAAAAAUGUGGCAUUUUAC
rnacentral:lncRNA from 1 species